rnacentral:rRNA from 1 species
CGGAUCAGAAUGCCGCGGUGAAUACGUUCCCGGGUCUUGUACACACCGCCCGUCACACCAUGGGAGUCGGGAAUGCCCCGAAGCCGGUGGCCCAAUCGUAAAGAAGGGAGCCGUCGAAGGCAGGCCGGAUGACUGGGGUGAAGUCGUAACAAGGUAUC